GAUCCUGGCUCAGGACGAACGCUGGCGGCGUGCUUAACACAUGCAAGUCGAACGAAGAGCGAUGGAAGCUUGCUUCUAUUAAUCUUAGUGGCGAACGGGUGAGUAACGCGUAAUCAACCUGCCCUUCAGAGGGGGACAACAGUUGGAAACGACUGCUAAUACCGCAUACGAUUUAACCUCGGCAUCGAGGAUAGAUGAAAGGUGGCCUCUAUUUAUAAGCUAUCACUGAAGGAGGGGAUUGCG
rnacentral:rRNA from 1 species